UGGCUCAGAUUGAACGCUGGCGGCAGGCCUAACACAUGCAAGUCGAGCGGUAGAGAGGUGCUUGCACCUCUUGAGAGCGGCGGACGGGUGAGUAAUGCCUAGGAAUCUGCCUGGUAGUGGGGGAUAACGCUCGGAAACGGACGCUAAUACCGCAUACGUCCUACGGGAGAAAGCAGGGGACCUUCGGGCCUUGCGCUAUCAGAUGAGCCUAGGUCGGAUUAGCUAGUUGGUGGGGUAAUGGCUCACCAAGGCGACGAUCCGUAACUGGUCUGAGAGGAUGAUCAGUCACACUGGAACUGAGACACGGUCCAGACUCCUACGGGAGGCAGCAGUGGGGAAUAUUGGACAAUGGGCGAAAGCCUGAUCCAGCCAUGCCGCGUGUGUGAAGAAGGUCUUCGGAUUGUAAAGCACUUUAAGUUGGGAGGAAGGGCAGUUACUUAAUACGUGACUGU
rnacentral:rRNA from 1 species